rnacentral:rRNA from 1 species
AUGAUGAUCAUUAUGAAUGAUGCUUAUGAUGUCACUGUCAAUGAUGCUUAUGAAGAAGAAUUUGUUAUAGUUUCAUAUGUUAAUGAAAUUGUUGAUAUUGCACCAUGCAUGGUAGUUUUAUUUUAUUUAUUUUUUGAAUUCUCCCAACUCGCACGUCCAUACGACCGGCCGAAUUCUAGUACAACUCCUCUUUCCACACUACACUUGGUUGCUCUCCUUUCAAGGCUUUAUAUGGCCACUAUCCCAACUUCAGCUCCAUGCCCUGUUUGGCUGCUUCAAUUUAUGCUACUCUGCGGGAGCUGCUACUCAAACGUGCCAUGCAGACUACCAACAGCUGCUCAAAACUAUAUGAAGCUGCAAGCUUAUCGUAAUCGCACUGACAAAUAA